CCUACGGGAGGCAGCAGUAGGGAAUUUUGCGCAAUGGGCGAAAGCCUGACGCAGCAACGCCGCGUGAUCGAGACGCCCUUCGGGGUGUAAAGAUCUGUCAGUGGGGACGAAACUUGACGGUACCCACAGAGGAAGCACCGGCUAACUCCGUGCCAGCAGCCGCGGUAAUACGGGGGGUGCAAGCGUUGUCCGGCAUCAUUGGGCGUAAAGGGUUCGUAGGCGGCACGUAAAGUCUGGUGUUAAAGGCAGAGGCACAACUUCUGUACGGCACUGGAUACUUGCGAGCUAGAAUGCGGUAGAGGUAAAGGGAAGUCCUGGUGGAGCGGGGAAGUGCUUAGAUAUGAGGAGGAAAAUCGGUGGCGUAAGCGCUUUACUGGGCCGUAAUUGACGCUGAGGAACGAAAGCCAGGGUAGCAAAUGGGAUUAGAUACCCGAGUAGUC
rnacentral:rRNA from 1 species